rnacentral:tRNA from 1 species
GGACAGUUGGCCGAGCGGUAAGGCGCCGUCUUGCUAAGACGAGGCCGGGUGGAAGCCCGCGCAGGUUCGAUCCCUGCACUCUCCGC